UGGGGAAUAUUGCACAAUGGGCGCAAGCCUGAUGCAGCGACGCCGCGUGAGGGAUGGAGGCCUUCGGGUUGUAAACCUCUUUCGCCAGUGAAGCAGGCCAUCUUCUUUGUGGGGUGGUUGACGGUAGCUGGAUAAGAAGCGCCGGCUAACUACGUGCCAGCAGCCGCGGUAAUACGUAGGGCGCGAGCGUUGUCCGGAAUUAUUGGGCGUAAAGAGCUCGUAGGCGGCUGGUCGCGUCUGUCGUGAAAUCCCCUGGCUUAACUGGGGGAUUGCGGUGGGUACGGGCCGGCUUGAGUGCGGUAGGGGAGACUGGAAUUCCUGGUGUAGCGGUGGAAUGCGCAGAUAUCAGGAGGAACACCGGUGGCGAAGGCGGGUCUCUGGGCCGUUACUGACGCUGAGGAGCGAAAGCGUGGGGAGCGAACAGG
rnacentral:rRNA from 1 species